CUUUUAUUCCACUUCUUUUUUUCCUGCACCAAUCUCUGUAAAUAUAUACUUUUGGGGAACAACCUACCUAACCUUGCCAGGUGAAUUAAAGUGUGAUUGGAGCUUUUCCCCCAACAAAAGGAAAAGCCUUAAAGAUAAUCUUAAAUUAGAGUAGCAGUCACUGUGGCACUACUUGAAAAUAUAAGAAAACUCUUCUAUUUUCCCGUCCAAAAUCUUGCUAAGUCAAGGAACUACAGGGAAAAACUGCCUAAGCAACAACUCUUGGCCAAACUCCAUAGAAGCCAGGAGAGGGCUCUGGAACAGCAACUGAGAAAUAACUUGAGCCUUUGUAAGUCCCCUCCUACAGCAGAAUCAGUUUCCUUCAAGGCCCCCUUGAACUAUGUGACACCCGUGUUUCUGCUCAGGAUCUUCUGUGAACAAACAGUCCUCAAUUCUUGCAGGCCAGCACUUGGCUUCCGUCAUUGUGAUGUGAUCAAGGGUUCCCCUGACACAUGGCCUGAAAUGGUGCCAGGAGCUCCAGGAGAAGAUGCUGAAGCAGCAGCUUCCUUUUGAAAAGGAAAAAACGAAUUGCCUCAGAGCCACAGCAGUGAGCUAGAGGUUGAGGUCAUUUUCUUGUGAAAUGUUCAGCCGCUUACUCUUACCCACAACUUACAGCGAUGUUGACCAUUGAGGUAAAAGGAUCCGUACUACGUAAUGUGUGACUCUAUGGAUGUCAGUUUCUUUGCCAACUCUUGACUGAUUAAAGGUCUGUAUAAAUUUGUCAUAACUCCUAGACAGGCCUAUUGGUGUAAAUGAAGAGAACAAGUCCAAAAAAAUCACUUUACCUUGGACACCAUUUGCUUUCCCUUAAU